ACAACAAGAAAGCUAGCUACUCAAGUACUCCUAAUGGCGCUUAUCAAGCACAUCGGGCAGGCUAUGUGUCUGCUGGCUCUUGUUGUCAUGUCUACCAGUUCCCUGCCCUCUCUUGUAGAAGGAUCAUGGUAUUGUGAUCCCAUGCGUGCAGAUACGAAGGGCGAGAUGCCCGACAAGUUGUGUUUUGUUAUGAAACGCUGCACACUCAGUCUAUGCCAGAAACUAUGUUUAGCACAUGGAUAUGAUAAGGGUCAAAGCGACUGCAUAUCUUUCACAAAAAAACAGUGUUGCUGCUUCGCGAAGGGAAUGCCGCCAUUAACAUGAUGGAUAACAUACACACCAUCCCCUGGGAAUGUCAAAUAAGACUAUUCGACUUUAUUGAUGAAGAAGAUUCAAUAAAAUUUAAACUUUAUCUAGUAAUUAUUGGUUAAUGUAUAACUGCCAAGUGUGAGCAAGUGAAUCGUUGUGUGUGGAGUGGAAUCGUUCAUGUAUCUUUGCACAUGGUCUCAUUCUUCGAUAAAGAGCUCUUUUAUUAACUUAAAA